CCUACGGGAGGCAGCAGUGGGGGAUCUUGCACAAUGGGGGAAAGCCUGAUGCAGCGACGCCGCGUGGGUGAAGAAGCGCCUCGGCGCGUAAAGCCCUGUCAGCAGGGAAGAAAAUGAUGGUACCUAAAGAAGAAGCCUCGGCUAACUACGUGUCAGCAGCCGCGGUAAGACUUAGGGGGCGAGCGUUAUCCGGAUUUACGGGGUGUAAAGGGGGCGCAGACGGCGAUGCAAGCCAGGAGUGAAAGCCCGGGGCCCAACCCCGGGACUGAUCUGGGAACUGCGUGGCUAGAGUGCAGGAGGGGCAGGCGGAAUUCCUGGUGUAGCGGUGAAAUGCGUAGAUAUUAGGAGGAACACCGGUGGCGAAGGCGGCCUGCUGGACUGCAACUGACGUUGAGGCCCGAAAGCGUGGGGAGCAAACAGGAUUAGAUACCCCUGUAGUC
rnacentral:rRNA from 1 species